CCUACGGGAGGCAGCAGUGGGGAAUAUUGGACAAUGGGCGGAAGCCUGAUCCAGCCAUGCCGCGUGAGUGAAGAAGGCCUUCGGGUUGUAAAGCUCUUUCAGAUGCGAAGAUGAUGACGGUAACAUCAGAAGAAGCCCCGGCUAAUUUCGUGCCAGCAGCCGCGGUAAUACGAAAGGGGCAAGCGUUGUUCGGAUUUACUGGGCGUAAAGGGCACGCAGGCGGUCUUGCCAGUCAGGGGUGAAAGCCCGGGGCUCAACCCCGGAACUGCCUCUGAUACUGCAGGACUAGAGACUAGGAGAGGGUGGUGGAAUUCCCAGUGUAGAGGUGAAAUUCGUAGAUAUUGGGAGGAACACCAGAGGCGAAGGCGGCCACCUGGACUAGAUCUGACGCUCAGGUGCGAAAGCGUGGGGAGCAAACAGGAUUAGAUACCCUGGUAGUCCACGCCGUAAACGAUGAGUGCUAGUUGUCGGGAUUUCGAUUUCGGUGACGCAGCUAACGCAUUAAGC
rnacentral:rRNA from 1 species